rnacentral:lncRNA from 10 species
GGGAUCAGGACACAGACACACACAGGGAGUCCAUGUGGAGGCACAGGGAGAAGGCAGCAUCUACGAGCCAACGAGGGAGAAACCACCCCAGCUAACCCCGUGAUCUUGGCCUUUUGGGCUCCAGAGCUGUGGGAAGCUCAAGGUGGGCUCAGGAGAUGACCUUGACAGAGAACCCUCUCCUCUGCAAAGCAGAUGAACAUUGGGUGUUUUAGAAGAAAGAUUCUCUGAAGCCGAGCACACCAACAGCAGCACAGGAAAGUCUCCCAGGCUCCCGAGGAAUGUUUCACAGCCUCCAACUGUGCCUUGGCACAGCUGCUCAAACAAGAGCCCAGACUUGCCGCUACAGGACAUCAGAGUCACUCAGGACCCCCAAGGUAGCCUGCUUGGUGGAAUGGAUGAGGUCUACGGGAUACCCCACAUUCGAGAGUAAGUGGGAGGCCAGGGGUUGCUGAGAUCCGCAGCAGGAUGAGGACAUGGCCUGGCCUGUGGGCCUUAGGGGUGUCCUCAGGUCCUGGACCACCAGCCAGAUGGGGCCAUAGACCACCCUUGGGUCACAGACCACCAGCCAGAUGGGGACUGCCCCAAAUCACUAAGCUAAAGGGAAAAGUCCAGCUGGAAACUGCUUGGGGCCAACCUGCCUCCCAUUCUAUUCAAAGUCACCCCUCUGCUCACUGAGAUAAGUGCAGAUCUGAUUGCCUCCUUUCAGAACUCAAAAGAAUGCAAUCACUUGUCUCCUAUCUACCCAUGACCUGGAAGCCCCCUCCACGCUUUGAGUCAUCCUGCCUUUGCUUCAAGUUUUCCCGCCUUUCCAGACUGAACCAAUGUUCAUCUUGCAUAUGUUGAUUGAUGUCUCAUGUCUGCCUAAAAUGUAUAAAACCAAACUGUGCUCUGACCACCUUGCACACAUAUCACCAGGACCUCCUGAGGCUGUGUCACGGGUGCACAUCCUUAAUCUUGGCAAAAUAAACUUUCUAAAUUAACUGAGAC